rnacentral:rRNA from 1 species
UACGGAGGUGGCAAGCGUUGUUCGGAAUUACUGGGCGUAAAGGGCGCGUAGGCGGCUUGGAAAGUCAGAUGUGAAAGCCCCGGGCUUAACUCGGGAAUUGCAUCUGAAACUUCUUUGCUUGAGUCCUGGAGGGGGUAGUGGAAUUCCCAGUGUAGCGGUGAAAUGCGUAGAUAUUGGGAGGAACACCAGCGGCGAAGGCGGCUACCUGGACAGUGACUGACGCUGAGGCGCGAAAGCUAGGGGAGCAAACGGG